CGCUUUUGUUUGGAGCCAUCAUUGCUGUGCUCCCAGCUCUCCCAAACCUUUAACCAUGCCUAUCACUUCAGUAUUCUAGGUAGAGCAAGAAAGCAGUGGACUUCUUGGGCAAUAUCCUGCUUGGCUGGAGACACCAGAGAGAGCAAGCAUGAGUGGGAGAGGCAGAGGGAGAAGGAGAAAGAAAAUAAAGCAGACUCCACACAGAGAGUAGAGCCCCACCUCGUGGAAACCAAGAGGCCAGUGCUUAACUGAUCCCACCAUCUAGGCACCCUAAUCUCUCCCCUUUUCAAAUGUUAAUGAUUGGUAACACUUCUUGGAAUAUGUCUUGCAGAGUUGCUCAAUUGUUUCAGUCUCCAAUGGCUAAAUCCCACUGGAACCAAGAGGAAGAGAACAAAAUAGAGGGGAGUGAAUCUGGAGGGGCAGUUGGAAGAUAUCUGGCAUGAGAUAUCAGAUAUAUCAGCUUGGAUGUCACCUUUGAAAGAGCAUAUUCCCAGAAAAUAGUUCUGAAGGAGGGCUGCCACAGACAUCGCCUUGAAAAUGUGCAUAUUGUCCUAUACUCUGAUUAACCUCACUGACAGAAACCGGUCUGUAACUGAUGUUUCAAUGAUUAACGAUGUUCUCUGGAAAUGAGGCCUCCUACACCUGACCAUGUAUAUGUCCACAGAUGAUUCAGGAAGCAUGUUUCCAUCCCUUUCAGGUAGGCUGUGUUGUUUUUUUCUAUCCUCAGAAGUUUUAUGAAGCUUUACGGUAUGUCUGGCUCAUACUGGAAGUCUGAUGAGAAUAAAAUUCAAGAAAAACCUAAACAAAUCUCUUUUACACAUUGUAUAGACAUAGCAACAAGAUAAAUUAACAUAUAAUGUAUUAUUUGUUUCAGGG